rnacentral:rRNA from 1 species
GACGAACGCUGGCGGCGUGCUUAACACAUGCAAGUCGAACGAUGAAGCACCAGCUUGCUGGUGUGGAUUAGUGGCGAACGGGUGAGUAACACGUGAGUAACCAGCCUCUCACACUGGGAUAAGCCUGGGAAAAUGGGUCUAAUACUGGAUACGACCGAUCUCCGAAUGGAGUGUUGGUGGCAAGGUUUUGUGGUGGGGGAUGGACUCGCGGCCUAUCAGCAUGUUGGCGGGGUAAUGGCCACCAAGGCGACGACGGGUAGCCGGCCUGAGAGGGCGACCGGGCACACUGGGAAUGAGAAACGGCCCAGACUCCUACGGGAGGCAGCAGUGGGGAAGAUUGCACAAUGGGCGAAAGCCUGAUGCAGCGACGCCGCGUGAGGGAUGACGGCCUUCGGGUUGUAAACCUCUUUCACCAGGGACGAAGCUAACGUGACGGUACCUGGAGAAGAAGCACCGGCUAACUACGUG